rnacentral:lncRNA from 1 species
GCCAAGAUCAAUUGUGGAAAAACUAAAAUCAAAUAUAGCAUUUUGGAAAAUAAUGAGAAACUGUAAAAGGGAUAGUCAGUAAAAAUUAUGGUGGUAUCAUGGCCUAUGACCAAGGAAAAAACUCAGGGGAGAAAAGACAAAUUUAACCAUGCAUAUGAGCACACAAGAUAUAUAUAUAUGGUUGUGAUUUUCAAAGCCAGGGAGAUUUAGAUACCUAUUUUUGAGUAAUUACAACAGCAGUACAACACUUUUGAGCUCUGUACAGCACAUGCAUGUACAUGGCAUGCACUCGCAUCCCUGAAUACAUUCUUUUAAAUACAAACAUCCUUGGUCUCUUUCCUCCUUUGCCACCUCUCUCUUACUGAGAUCAUCAUUACUGAUGAACAUACUAUCUGCAUCCCCAGUCUCCUCUCCCACUGUUUUUUGUCCAGACUCCCACCCAGCUUCCAGGACUGAGACUCUUCCUUCGAGAAUCUAAACAAGAUGCCUUUGCAUGUGACUGAACACAAUGGGCCCCUCUUCAAAGCCAAGCAAUAUUUUUCCUAUCAUUGUUUGCAGGGGAAGAGUCACUCUACGUUCUUCUCAGAUAUUAUGGUUACGCUGGCCUUAUUAGCUCAUGCGUAGAUUUGCUGUCACAAGAGGGUUUGUACAACUGACAAGAUUGCUUAAUCCCUUCCUAGGUCCCUUAGCAUUUGUAACAAGUUUUGUAAUUGCUUUUUAAAUAAAAUGCCCUGACCCUGGAAACUCAUUUGUGAGCCAGCUCAGUUCUCUGGCUUUUUUCCCUUCAUAUAGCUUUUAUGACCUCUCCUAUCUGGAUCUUGAGCCCUUUCUCAGAAGUAUCUUAGUCCAAUCCUCUUGAUGCUAUCCAGAGCUAAAAGCCCUCAGCAUGUGCUUUGGAUCCGAUCCCUACCUGGCUGCUCUGUCCAGAGGGGCGUUGAUCAAAUCUGGUAACAACAAAUCAGGGCCCAGAAAAUUUAUUUGUAGAAUCUGGAGUUUUUCCAUCUAAUUGCAAGCAGGCUUUCGCAACUCAUUCACUGAAGAAAACUUUCUUAUCAGACACAAAGACUGACUUAGAUGACGGUGUGACACCUACAGAGAAACCAGAGCAUGCUGAGGGCUGCAGGAACAACCCCAUCCUCAGGAAACAUUGGGUGGCAUCAGGCAGUAAGAAUCUCUCACACAGAGCGCUUCACAGGAUCCUCUCUCUUCUCCAUAUCAAGCUGCCCAGGACUUCUUUCUCCCAUAUUUCCAAAUAUCUCAGAUGUGAGCGGAAGAAUGUAAUUGCGAGCAGACUCCAUUCCUUUUAUGUCUAUAAGCUGCUUUCAGUUUUUCUGUACCUUGAAUAAAUAAACAAUGUUCAUUUUCAACAAUUGUUUUCUCUCAGUCUCCAUGCUUGUCCCUAAUCUGCACAAAAGCAUUAUAAAGUUUAAAU